UGGAGGAGAAUUGGUGGUGUAAAUGAGUAAGGGGAUUGGUGGGUUUGGUUGUUUGAGACCCUAAAGAAUGAUGAGGGGGGAUAGGAGGGACUUGGGAACACAUAGACGUCCCUAGGCGUUGACAUCCAAUGAACUAUCCAGAUAUGGGUUGGUGCCAUCAGGAACAUUGAGACAGGUAAGGCAGGGCUGUGGUCAGCUCGUGUCGUGAUAUGUUGGGUUAAGUCCCGUAACGAGCGCAACCCUUGUCCUUAGUUACCAGCACGUAAUGGUGGGCACUAUAAGGAUACUGCCGGUGACAAACCGGAGGAAGGUGGGGAUGAAGUCAAGUCAUCAUGGCCCUUACGGCCUGGGCUACACACGUGCUACAAUGGUCGGUACAGAGGGUUGCCAAGCCGCGAGGUGGAGCUAAUCCCACAAAACCGAUCGUAGUCCGGAUCGCAGUCUGCAACUCGACUGCGUGAAGUCGGAAUCGCUAGUAAUCGCGAAUCAG
rnacentral:rRNA from 1 species